AAUCAACGCUGGCGGCGUGCCUAACACAUGCAAGUCGAACGAGAAAGUCCUGGCAACGGGAUGAGUAAAGUGGCAGACGGGUGAGUAACACGUGAACAACUUACCCUUGAGCGUGGAAUAACCCCGCGAAAGCGGGGCUAAUACCGCAUAACAUCCUUGGAUCGCAUGAUCCGGGGAUCAAAGGCGAAAGUCGCUUGAGGAGAGGUUCGCGCCUGAUUAGCUAGUUGGUGAGGUAACGGCCCACCAAGGCAACGAUCAGUAGCCGGCCUGAGAGGGCGAACGGCCACACUGGAACUGAGACACGGUCCAGACUCCUACGGGAGGCAG
rnacentral:rRNA from 1 species